rnacentral:lncRNA from 1 species
GUGGUGUGUAAUAGUGGUAUAUAGAUGGUGGUGUGUAAUAGUGGUAUAUAGAUGGUGGUGUGUAAUAGUGGUAUAUAGAUGGUGGUGUGUAAUAGUGGUAUAUAGAUGGUGGUGUGUAAUAGUGGUAUAUAGAUGGUGUGUAAUAGUGGUAUAUAGGUGAUGGUGGUGUGUAAUAGUGGUAUAUAGGUGGUGGUGUGUAAUAGUGGUAUAUAGAUGGUGGUGUGUAAUAGUGGUAUAUAGAGGAUGGUGGUGUGUAAUAGUGGUAUAUAGAGGGUGGUGGUGUGUAAUAGUGGUAUAUAGAUGGUGGUGUGUAAUAGUGGUAUAUAGAUGGUGGUGUGUAAUAGUGGUAUAUAGAUGGUGGUGUGUAAUAGUGGUAUAUAGAUGGUGGUGUGUAAUAGUGGUAUAUAGAUGGUGGUGUGUAAUAGUGGUAUAUAGAUGGUGGUAUGUAAUAGUGGUAUAUAGAUGGUGGUGUGUAAUAGUGGUAUAUAGAUGGUGGUGUGUAAUAGUGGUAUAUAGAUGGUGGUGUGUAAUAGUGGUAUAUAGAUG